rnacentral:rRNA from 1 species
UACGUAGGGUGCAAGCGUUAUCCGGAAUUAUUGGGCGUAAAGAGCUCGUAGGCGGUUUGUCGCGUCUGCUGUGAAAACUGGGGGCUCAACCCCCAGCCUGCAGUGGGUACGGGCAGACUAGAGUGCGGUAGGGGAGAUUGGAAUUCCUGGUGUAGCGGUGGAAUGCGCAGAUAUCAGGAGGAACACCAAUCGCGAAGGCAGCUCACUGGGACGUUACUGACACUGAGAAGCGAAAGCAUGGGGAGCGAACAGG